rnacentral:sRNA from 1 species
CAGGUUGGAGAAGGAAAUUGAGGGGCUGGAGCGUGGAGACUCUGCCCCAGCUGCCGCGAAGGAGAACGCAGCGGCCCCGAGCCCGGUCCGGGCCCCAGCCCCGAGUCCAGCCAAGGAGGAGCGCAAGACAGAGGUGGUGAUGAAUUCACAGCAGACGCCGGUGGGCACGCCCAAAGACAAGCGAGUCUCCAAUACGCCCAUGAGGACGGUUGACGGCUCCCCCAUGAUGAAGGCAGUGGUCCAUGCUGUGGAUGGCACCGCCGAGAACGGGAUCCACCCCCUGAGCUCCUCUGAGGUGGACGAACUCAUCCACAAAGCGGACGAGGUCACGCUGAGCGAGGCAGGGUCCACGGCUGGGGUGGCAGAGACCCGGGGGGCUGUGGAGGAGGUAGCCCGGACCACGCCCUCCCGGCGGGAGAUCACCGGUGUGCAGGCACAGCCAGGCGAGGCCACGUCCGGCCCGCCGGGGAUCCAGCCCGGCCAGGAGCCCCCGGUCACAAUGAUCUUCAUGGGUUACCAGAACGUGGAGGAUGAGGCCGAGACCAAGAAGGUGCUGGGCCUUCAAGACACCAUCACGGCGGAGCUGGUGGUCAUCGAAGACGCGGCUGAGCCCAAGGAACCUGCACCGCCCAACGGCAGUGCCGCCGAGCCUCCCACGGAGGCCACCUCCAGGGAAGAGAAUCAGGCGGGGCCCGAGGCCACCACCAGCGACCCCCAGGACCUCGACAUGAAGAAGCAGCGUUGUAAAUGCUGCUCGAUCAUGUGAGCCGGCCCCUGAGACCCCGGCCCCCACCCCACACCACAGACACCCACCAGCCCGGCCCCUCCCGGCGCCUGCCCACCCUCCACCCACAGCCUCACGGGUCCAGGACUUGGCGU